GACGCUGCCUUUUCAGUUGGGGAGAGCGGUAGUAAUCGGAACAUGUCAGGCGGAUCCGCGGAUUACAGCAGAGACCAUGGCCCCGAGGGAAUGGAUCCUGAUGGUGUCAUUGAGAGCAAUUGGAAUGAAAUUGUCGACAAUUUCGAUGACAUGAAUUUAAAAGAAUCCCUUCUGAGAGGAAUUUAUGCCUAUGGUUUUGAGAAGCCUUCAGCUAUCCAGCAACGUGCUAUUAUUCCAUGUAUUAAAGGGUAUGAUGUGAUUGCUCAAGCUCAGUCAGGUACUGGCAAGACAGCCACAUUUGCUAUUUCAAUCCUGCAACAGUUGGAGAUUGAUCUCAAGGAGACCCAAGCACUAGUAUUGGCCCCCACCAGAGAACUGGCUCAACAGAUCCAGAAAGUUAUUUUGGCACUUGGAGAUUAUAUGGGCGCCACUUGUCAUGCUUGCAUUGGUGGUACAAAUGUUCGCAAUGAGAUGCAGAAGCUCCAAGCAGAGGCUCCCCACAUUGUGGUGGGAACUCCUGGGCGUGUAUUUGAUAUGUUAAAUAGACGCUAUCUGUCACCUAAAUGGAUCAAAAUGUUUGUCUUGGAUGAAGCAGAUGAAAUGUUAAGCCGGGGGUUUAAGGAUCAGAUCUAUGAAAUUUUUCAGAAGUUAAGCACAAACAUUCAGGUUGUAUUGCUUUCUGCAACUAUGCCAAUGGAUGUGUUAGAAGUGACUAAAAAGUUCAUGAGAGACCCUAUUCGUAUUUUAGUGAAGAAAGAAGAAUUGACCCUUGAGGGUAUCAAGCAAUUCUACAUUAAUGUGGAAAGAGAGGAAUGGAAGCUGGAUACCCUGUGUGAUUUAUAUGAAACCUUGACUAUUACCCAGGCUGUUAUUUUCCUCAAUACAAGAAGGAAAGUAGAUUGGCUUACAGAGAAAAUGCAUGCUAGAGACUUCACUGUUUCUGCCCUGCAUGGUGACAUGGAUCAGAAGGAGCGAGAUGUUAUCAUGAGAGAGUUUAGGUCAGGAUCAAGCCGUGUCCUGAUUACUACUGAUUUGCUGGCUCGUGGCAUUGACGUGCAGCAAGUAUCUUUGGUUAUAAAUUACGAUCUGCCAACCAAUCGUGAAAACUAUAUUCACAGGAGUCGCUAGCCCAGUUGAUGACGAGAUGGUGCUCAGAAACGACGACGUAAUUUAGGACGUGGAUUCGUAAGCGGCACACUGUUUGCAUAAAGAGCGAGUUGGAUUGGUCGAGGUGGUCGUUUUGGCAGGAAAGGUGUGGCUAUAAACUUUGUCACUGAGGAGGACAAGCGGAUCCUUCGGGAUAUUGAGACUUUCUACAAUACUACAGUGGAGGAAAUGCCUAUGAAUGUGGCUGACCUCAUUUAAUCCCUGGGAUGAGAUGUUUUUGGAAUGCAGUGCUCGCUGUUGCUGACCAGGCGAUCCACAACGUGCAUUGUGCUUCUUGGGGGAUACAUUGAAUCUUGUCUCAAUGCUCAUUACGGAUCAGAAAUACAGAUUUUUGAUAAGCAAAGCGACAUUUUGUCGUGAGCUUUUGUGGGGGAGAGCCAUUGGCUUUCUCCUCUUUAGGGUUUAGACUGUUGGGGUUGGGUGGAAAGUCAUGGGGUCUGUAAAUUUUUUCUUUAUUAGAAAUUUAUUUCCUAGUUCUGUAGAAGUGGUAGUGCUAGAUGUUCUUUAUCAUUUAAUAAUUUACUUAUGGACUAAAAGAUAUAAGUGCUGUAUAAAAUCAGCCAAUUAUGUUAAACUAGCAUACCUACCUUUAUUGUAUGUUAUCCUAUAUUAGAGUAAAUUGGAAAGGCCUUUCAAAAUGACUAAUCUUUUAUAAGAACAUAAAAAUGCAUUUUUGUUUGGUAUGUAUUUAUUGAAUAAAGUAUUUAAUUAGUGUUAAGUGUGAUCUGGACCCUGUUGCUAAACCCUGCAAGCAAUCAUUACUAUUGUCUUAGUUAGGGUUUAGACCCAUUAAAUCGCCAUAUUGCACAUGUCUUAAUGAAGUUUGAAUGUUCAAUAAAAUAUUAUAUAUUCACUUCA